rnacentral:rRNA from 1 species
UACGUAGGGGGCAAGCGUUGUCCGGAAUCAUUGGGCGUAAAGCGCGUGUAGGCGGUCCGGUAAGUCCGCUGUGAAAGUCGGGGGCUCAACCCUCGGAUGCCGGUGGAUACUGUCGGGCUUGAGUACGGAAGAGGCGAGUGGAAUUCCUGGUGUAGCGGUGAAAUGCGCAGAUAUCAGGAGGAACACCAAUUGCGAAGGCAGCUCGCUGG